UGGAGAGUUUGAUCCUGGCUCAGGACGAACGCUGGCGGCGUGCUUAACACAUGCAAGUCGAACGGAAAGGCCCAGCUUGCUGGGUACUCGAGUGGCGAACGGGUGAGUAACACGUGGGUGAUCUGCCCCUGACUUUGGGAUAAGCCUGGGAAACUGGGUCUAAUACCGGAUAUGACCUUACAUCGCAUGGUGUUUGGUGGAAAGCUUUUGCGGUUGGGGAUGGGCCCGCGGCCUAUCAGCUUGUUGGUGGGGUAAUGGCCUACCAAGGCGACGACGGGUAGCCGACCUGAGAGGGUGAUCGGCCACACUGGGACUGAGACACGGCCCAGACUCCUACGGGAGGCAGCAGUGGGGAAUAUUGCACAAUGGGCGCAAGCCUGAUGCAGCGACGCCGCGUGAGGGAUGACGGCCUUCGGGUUGUAAACCUCUUUCACCAGGGACGAAGCGUGAGUGACGGUACCUGGAGAAGAAGCACCGGCCAACUACGUGCCAGCAGCCGCGGUA
rnacentral:rRNA from 1 species